rnacentral:rRNA from 1 species
UGCCAGCCGCCGCGGUAAUACAGAGGGUGCGAACGUUGUUCGGAAUUACUGGGCAUAAAGCGCACGUAGGCGGUCCUGUAAGUGUGGAGUGAAAGCCCACGGCUCAACCGUGGAACUGCUUUGCAAACUGCAGGACUCGAGGACGGUAGGGGAGAGCGGAACUCCUGGUGGAGCGGUGAAAUGCGUAGAUAUCAGGAGGAACACCGGUGGCGAAGGCGGCUCUCUGGGCCGAUAUUGACGCUGAGGCGCGAAGGCGUGGGUAGCGAACGGGAUUAGAUA